UUGGAGGGCAAGUCUGGUGCCAGCAGCCGCGGUAAUUCCAGUUCCAAUAGCGUAUAUUAAAGUUGCUGCAGUUAAAAAGCUCGUAGUUGAAUUUCGGGACCAAUAUGUCGGUCGUGCCUCGGUACGUACUGGCAUUAUCGGUUUCUCCCUUCUGAAGAACCUUGAUGUCAUUAAUUUGGUGUCUUGGGAAAUCAGGACUGUUACUUUGAAAAAAUUAGAGUGUUUAAAGCAGGCUCGCGCUUGAAUACAUUAGCAUGGAAUAAUGAAAUAGGACGGACUGAUUCUAUUUCGUUGGUUUCUAGGAUCACCGUAAUGAUUAAUAGGGAUAGUUGGGGGCAUUAGUAUUCAAUUGUCAGAGGUGAAAUUCUUGGAUUUAUUGAAGACUAACUACUGCGAAAGCAUUUGCCAAGGAUGUUUUCAUUAAUCAAGAACGAAAGUUAGGGGAUCGAAGACGAUCAGAUACCGUCGUAGUCUUAACCAUAAACUAUGCCGACUAGGGAUCGGACGAAGUUAAUUUUAUAAUGACGCGUUCGGCACCUUACGGGAAACCAAAGUGUUUGGGUUC
rnacentral:rRNA from 1 species